GACGAACGUUGGCGGCGUGCCUAAUACAUGCAAGUCAACUGAAAUACCGGUAGCAAUACUGGUAUGGAGGUGGCGCACGGGUGAGUAACACGUAGGUAAUCUGCCUUCAGGUCUGACAUAACCCAUCGAAAGGUGAGCUAAUAUCAGAUGAUGCAGCGGCUUGACAUCAAGACAGUUGUUAAAGCUUCGGCGCCUGAAGAUGAGCCUGCGUCUGAUUAGCUAGUUGGCGGGGUAAC
rnacentral:rRNA from 1 species